rnacentral:rRNA from 1 species
GCCUACGGGACGCAGCAGUGAGGAAUAUUGGUCAAUGGGCGAGAGCCUGAACCAGCCAAGCCGCGUGAACGAGAAAGGUCUUCGGAUCGUAAAGUUCUGUUGAAGGGGAAAAAGAGCGGAGAGAGGAAAUGGUCUCCGAUUGAUAUUACCCUUCGAGGAAGUCACGGCUAACUACGUGCCAGCAGCCGCGGUAAUACGUAGGUGGCGAGCGUUAUCCGGAAUGAUUGGGCGUAAAGGGUGCGUAGGCGGCCUGCUAAGUCUGGAGU